rnacentral:rRNA from 1 species
UACGAAGGGGGCUAGCGUUGCUCGGAUUUACUGGGCGUAAAGCGCGUGUAGGCGGCUUGUUAAGUCGGGUGUGAAAGCCCUCAGCUCAACUGAGGAAGUGCGCCCGAAACUGGCGAGCUUGAGUGUCGGAGAGGAUGGCGGAAUACCCCAAGUAGAGGUGAAAUUCGUAGAUAUGGGGUGGAACACCGGUGGCGAAGGCGGCCAUCUGGACGACAACUGACGCUGAGACGCGAAAGCGUGGGGAGCAAACAGG